rnacentral:rRNA from 1 species
ACGCUGGCGGCAGGCCUAACACAUGCAAGUCGAGCGGUAGCACAGGGAGCUUGCUCCUGGGUGACGAGCGGCGGACGGGUGAGUAAUGUCUGGGAAACUGCCUGAUGGAGGGGGAUAACUACUGGAAACGGUAGCUAAUACCGCAUAAUGUCUCAAGACCAAAGAGGGGGACCUUCGGGCCUCUUGCCAUCGGAUGAGCCCAGAUGGGAUUAGCUAGUAGGUGGGGUAACGGCUCACCUAGGCGACGAUCCCUAGCUGGUCUGAGAGGAUGACCAGCCACACUGGAACUGAGACACGGUCCAGACUCCUACGGGAGGCAGCAGUGGGGAAUAUUGCACAGUGGGCGCAAGCCUGAUGCAGCCAUGCCGCGUGUAUGAAGAAGGCCUUCGGGUUGUAAAGUACUUUCAGCGGGGAGGAAGGCGAUAAGGUUAAUAACCUUGUCGAUUGACGUUACCCGCAGAAGAAGCACCGGCUAACUCCGUGCCAGCAGCCGCGGUAAUACGGAGGGUGCAAGCGUUAAUCGGAAUUACUGGGCGUAAAGCGCACGCAGGCGGUCUGUCAAGUCAGAUGUGAAAUCCCCGGGCUCAACCUGGGAACUGCAUUCGAAACUGGCAGGCUAGAGUCUUGUAGAGGGGGGUAGAAUUCCAUGUGUAGCGGUGAAAUGCGUAGAGAUCUGGAGGAAUACCGGUGGCGAACGCGGCCCCCUGGACAAACACUGACGCUCAUGUGCGAAAGCGUGGGGAGCAAACAGGAUUAUAUACCCUGGUAGUCCACGCCGUAAACGAUGUCUACUUGGAGGUUGUGCCCUUGAGGCGUGUCUUCCGGAGCUAACGCGUUAAGUCGACCGCCUGGGGAGUACGGCCGCAAGGUUAAAACUCAAAUGAAUUGACGGGGGCCCGCACAAG